CUACGGGGUGCAGCAGUGAGGAAUAUUGCACAAUGGGGGGAACCCUGAUGCAGCAACGCCGCGUGGAGGAUGACGCAUUUCGGUGUGUAAACUCCUUUUAUAUGUCAAGAAAAUGACGGUAGCAUAUGAAUAAGCACCGGCUAACUCCGUGCCAGCAGCCGCGGUAAUACGGAGGGUGCAAGCGUUACUCGGAAUCACUGGGCGUAAAGGACGCGUAGGCGGGUUGGAAAGUCAGGUGUGAAAUCCUACAGCUUAACUGUAGAACUGCACUUGAAACUUCUAAUCUAGAGUAUGGGAGGGGGAGAUGGAAUUAGUGGUGUAGGGGUAAAAUCCGUAGAUAUCACUAGGAAUACCUGAAGCGAAGGCGAUCUCCUGGAACAUUACUGACGCUAAGGCGUGAAAGCGUGGGGAGCAAACAGGAUUAGAUACCCUCGUAGUC
rnacentral:rRNA from 1 species